CCUCUGUGGAGCGGCCCCUCCUCUUCCCCUUGAGGCCCUGCUGCGGUGACCCCAUGCCCAGGACCUGGGGCUGCCUGGUGACGGGCUACUUCCCCGAGCCGGCCACCGUGACUUGGGACAAAGCCAGCCAGAACGUGAGCGUCCAGACCUUCCCUGCCACCCUCGGCUCUGGCCUCCAUGUCACCACCAGCCGAGUGACCGUCCUGGACACGCUGACCACAAAGAGUUUCACCUGCCAUGUGGCACAUGAACCAUCUGCAACCUACAUGAACAGGACCGUCCAAGGCUGCCACCUAGGCAACUUCACAAAGCCCACCGUGGACCUCCUGCACUCCUCCUGCGACCCCAGGGGCUUCCACCCCACCAUCCGCCUGUACUGCCUCAUCUCCGGCUACACCCCAGAUGACCUGCAGGUCACCUGGCUAAAGAACCGGCAGAAGAUCAGGGUGACACCCACAGCCCCCCCCAAGCAGGAAGGCAAGCUGGCCUCCACCCACAGCGAGCUCAACAUCACUGAGGAAGAGUGGCAGUCAGAGAGCACCUUCACCUGCCAGGUCACCUACAAAGGCGUCAUCCUGGAGGCCCAUACCCAGAAGUGCACAGAGUAUGAGCAGAGAGGCGUGAAUGCCUACCUGGUCCCACCCAGCCCUCUGGACCUGUAUGUCUACAAAGCACCCAAACUCACCUGUCUGGUGGUGGAUCUGGAAAGCCUGGAUGGGGUCAGCGUGGUCUGGGCACGGGAGAGCGGGAAGCCAGCAGGUACAGGCUCCUGGAGCAGCGUCCAGCACCACAACGCCACCACCAGCAUCAUCGCCACCCUGCCGGUGGACACCCAGGACUGGGUUGGGGGUGAGGCCUACCGGUGCACCGUGACCCAGGACCUCCUGCCCAAGGCCAUCGUGCGCUCCAUCACCAAGACCCCCGGCCCGCGGGAGGCCCCCGAGGUCUACGUGUUCCUGCCCCCCGAGGAGGAGAGCCACGACAAAUUCACCCUCACCUGCCUGAUUCAGAACUUCUUCCCCGUGGACAUCUCCGUGCAGUGGCUGCGGAACCAGAAGCCAAUUCUGAGCGGCAGGCAGAGCACCACCGCGCCGCUCCGGAUGAGCGACUCCAGCACCACCUUCUUUGCCUUCAGCCGCCUGGAGGUCACCAGGGCAGACUGGAUGCAGAAUAACCGGUUCACCUGCCGAGUGGUCCACGAGGCGCUGAACAAGCCGUGGACCCUGGACAGGACGGUGUCCAGGAACCCUGAGCUGGACCUCCAGGAGCUGUGCACAGAGGAGGUGCAGGCUGAGGAGCUGGAGGAGCUGUGGACCAGCGCCUGCGUGUUCAUCGCCCUGUUCCUUCUCAGCGUGAGCUACGGGGCCACCAUCACCCUCCUGAAGGUGAAGUGGGUCCUCUCCGCCCUGCUGCAGGAUGCACCCCAGACGCUUCACGACUACGCCAACGUCCUCCAGCCUCGGGCCUGAGCUGGAUGCCAGCCCCCAUGGAGGCCAGGUCCCUCCAGUCUGUGCU